CCUACGGGUGGCAGCAGUAGGGAAUCUUCCACAAUGGGCGAAAGCCUGAUGGAGCAACGCCGCGUGGGUGAAGAAGGUCUUCGGAUCGUAAAACCCUGUUGUUAGAGAAGAAAGUGCGUGAGAGUAACUGUUCACGUUUCGACGGUAUCUAACCAGGAAGCCACGGCUAACUACGUGCCAGCAGCCGCGGUAAUACGUAGGUGGCAAGCGUUAUCCGGAUUUAUUGGGCGUAAAGGGAACGCAGGCGGUCUUUUAAGUCUGAUGUGAAAGCCUUCGGCUUAACCGGAGGAGUGCAUUGGAAACUGGGAGACGUGAGGGAAGAAGAGGAGAGUGGAACUCCAUGUGAAGCGGUGAAAUGCGUAGAUAUAUGGAAGAACACCAGAGGCGAAGGCGGCUCACUGGUCUGUAACUGACGCUGAGGUUCGAAAGCGUGGGUAGCAAACAGGAUUAGAUACCCUAGUAGUC
rnacentral:rRNA from 1 species